CGACACUACGUGGCUAUCUAGGCUGAUCGGGAAAACGAGGUUAAUAUUGAUGAUUAACUCCUGACGUCAACUACAGUAGCUAAAGCUCUCAGUAGACAGUGUCAAAUAUUUUGCUGGGAUUCGACAGCGGGCCCAACAUUUGUUUGUCUCUAUUGGAAUUUCUCUAUUGUCAAAUGAAAGUUUGGACUGCUGUCAGACUUCAAUUAAAUAUUUGACACUGUGUACUACUUGCUUGAGAUAUAGUCAAACCUAAUUCCACAAAUUGCAACACGUUUCGGUGAGUCACACCCAUUUUUUCAAGCACACCCCAAUCUCAGCCAGCACAGAACUGAGAACACCUACAAAGGGGCAAUAUUUUUCUCCUGAGUGCGAAACAAUACACCAAACUCAUGAAUUCCAUGUGCUACUAGGCUUGAAACUGCAUGAAGCAAGUGGCCACAACAUAAAUAUUUUAUUAGCAAGCGGCGAUUUAUUGAUCCUACAAGCUGCGAUAAUUUACGACCUAGUCCGGCUUUUCGAUUCAAGAGUUCCAACUAAGUUUAGUUUCAUAUACCUACUAUACUCUGCCGUGUAGUGACUAGAACAACAUGGGGCACAUCGAGCUCCUCCAUCAUACGAUCUGUGGUGAGAGUGAGCAGAGCCUUAGAGUUAGGAGCAGAGUUUUAAGUUAGCUGAAAACAUCCACAAUGAAUUAAAAAAAAAAAUCAUCGAUGGGUCAUAAUGGACCAAUGCACGAGCUCACUAGUUUGACGAUAAUGCGGUGCCGAGUUCAUCUGUUCCUAUGGUCACUUAAAUAAAUCCGUUGACUUAUUUUGGGAAGAAAUCUUGUAUCUUGGUGAGUCGUGAGAAAUAAACCACAACAGGCUAGGUGGAACGUGCAUCCAAAAAGAUAAGGAAGCUAUGAUUAGGAGAGUAGGUUCCCGCAUACGUGAUGUUUCUUUCGUCAUUCGUACCAAAAACCGGCCUCCCCUGCACGUUUUCCAUUGAGGUGAGCUGGCAAAAGCCUAAGUAUGCCGUCUGUCAAGAAUAGUAGAGUGCAAUUAAAAUUCAAAGUCUGCUCCCAUUUCCGGAUGGCCAGCUUGUGCGACGAGGAUGAGCGGCACUCGAUUCGUGAUUUGAAACUCGAACGUGGACUGCACAAGAGGAACGAUUCCUAGACUGGGCCCAUACAUUUCAAGGGGAUGAAAACGGUUUCCCAAACGGAACCAGUCUGAUUUCGAACGCACUGGAGCAGCACGUGGCGAAGACAAGGGGAUGCUGGAUGUUGUCCGAAAUGAGCUUAGGAUGCCUGCACGCUUAGAAUAAUUUAUACGG